rnacentral:lncRNA from 1 species
CUGCAGCUGCUGCCACGUGGCCUUGGGGACCAGCCCACAGCCACCCCCCGCCCCUGCCCCUCGCUGAGAGGCGUUGGGCCUGGUCAGAAAGACUGCGGGCGAGACCUCAGGCCGUCGGCCUCUGCCGCUCCGCCCGAGACUGGGCAUGAUGUUUUCAAGGUUCAUCUGACUUGUAGCACGUCAGUACAGUCUUGCUCAGCAUGAUGACAUUUCGAUCAAAGAUGGAUGAUAUAUACAAAGGUGGUCCCAUAAGGGAAAGCCAAAAACUUAUGGUAACCUUCUUCAGACUCAAAAUAUAUAAGAUGCAUCCCCUCCAUCAGAUGCAAAAAAAAAAAAAAAAAAAAGUAACAGGAAUGUCAGGAAUCUCUUCUUUGGGACUGCCAUGGAGAUGGAGUUCUUGUUUCAGUACUGGCUUGUACCCAGCACAGGAAAAGUUGUACCCAAGUCAAAUAUCUGAGUCCUGCACCCUACGGCCCCACCGUCCCACCGCCCCUCUGCCCCUCGGCCCCUCUACCCUUCUGCCCCAGCCCCUUGUGAGCUGCAGCGCCUCAUCGAAAGCAGCUUAUAGACAGAUUGAUUUAGAGUAAAUUCAACCACAUGACUGCAACAAUACUAUGAAGAGGAAUAGUUUCGAUCUCUGGUUCAGCUGUUGCAGAAGUAAUACGUAAGUGAUAAGAUUCAAAUUCACUGAAUUUUAAACAUAAUUCUCAGCCUUGGUUAAUCGAAUAGGGAAUACAUGCGUCCCUUCUUUCAUAAUAGAUGUAGACUGUAUGCAAAUGAAAUUUGUCAAACUCAGAAUUUAAAGACCUUGUUUUAUGCCUGUAAUUUCCUUAAAAAUAGCACAGCUUAGGCAGUGUGCCAGUAAUAAAAUGCAUGUGCCAGUCAUGGUCCCUUUAAGCUCCUCCAGGGGUGACUGGUUGCUCUGUCCAUGGAUGGUGAGCUAGUGUUCAACUCAGGAAGCCAUUUUCCAGAGAAGGCCACUGCAACGGCUUCCAUUGUCCCAUCUUGAUCAACACCUGAAACACUGUUAAUUCC